rnacentral:tRNA from 1 species
GUCCCAGUAGCUCAAUUGGAUAGAGCAUCCCCCUCCUAAGGGGAAGGUUGGCAGUUCUUAUCCGACAUUGAUUU